UCCCAGACACAGAAAAAAAAAAAAAAACAAAGGAGAGGAAGAAGAUGAAGAGUUUUCGGAGCAUAAGAUCGAUAUUCAUGCAUGCCGACAGUGUGGAUUUAGUGCUGAUGGGAUUAGGUUUACUUGGAGCCAUCGGGCGCUGAUGGCUUCAUCACUCCUAUAACAUUUUUCAUCACCGGCUUGCUGCUGAACAACAUCAACAUCGGUGGUUCCUCAGUCGGUGAUGAAACCUUCAUGCAUUCCAUCAUGAAGAACGUUGUAGCUCUGCUUUAUGUGGCUUGUGCAUCUUUGGUGAUAUGUUUCGUUGAAGGAUAUUGCUGGACAAGGACAGGGGAGAGACAAGCAUCACGAAUGUGAAAAAGGUACUUAAGAGCAGUGUUAAGACAAGAUGUGGGUUACUUUGAUCUUCAUGUUGCAAGCACUUCUGAUGUUAUCACUAGUGUCUCAACUCUCAAGUGACACCCUCGUCAUUAGUGAAAAUGUAACCUUUUUUUUUUUUUGAAUAAUAUGUAAAAUUUAUUCGGAAAAAAACUUUUUUACAUCAGGAACAACGUUUGGUUUAAAAAUGUAAACAGCUAAUUCAUCCUACAAA